UGUGAUGUAGCUCGGUGGUAGAGCACUUGCUUAACAUGCAAACGUUCCUAGGUUCAAUCCUGAGCAGCACAA
rnacentral:tRNA from 1 species